rnacentral:miRNA from 1 species
AUGAGAUCAGUCAGAAUAAUUGA